rnacentral:rRNA from 1 species
CCCGUGAACCAUCGAGUCUUUGAACGCAAGUUGCGCCCGAAGCCCUAGGCUUAGGGCACGUCUGCCUGGGCGUCACAC